GUCUACAGCCAUACCACACUUAAAAUGCCCAAUCAUGUCGGAUCUCAGAAGCUAAGCAGGGUUGGACCUCAUUAGUAUUUAAAUGGGAGACCACCUAGGAAUACCAGGUGCUGCAGGUG
rnacentral:rRNA from 1 species